GAUUGCUGAGUGAGUACAGCAACGGGAUCAUGAACAGCCAUAAUAUCCAGUGAGAUGGCGCUGAGGGCCGUGCAGUGAGGCUGCUGCAGAGUUUUAUGCACAGAAGCGCAUCGACAUUAUUCCAGCUACAAAUAUGCCUGUGUUUGAUGGGAGAUGGGUAAGGAGAUAAGAAUGGAAGUGCCAGAGCACUUCAGAAGUUCACCCAAGAGAAGCCAGAAACGCUGGGAUUGAACUCACGACCUUGCACUGGCCAGCCUGGUGAUUAUGUCGCUGAACUUGGGACCCUCAUUCUGUCAUUUUGAUUGCUUUUGAGAAGUAUAGAAUUAUUUGUUAGAAUGCAGCUGAAAAUUUGGUGUUGAUAAGGGAAAAACUGUGUAUCAUAUAAAUCUUGGUGAAUAAAUUAAACAAAAAAUGAU